CAGUGCGUUCAGGAGCGGUUUUGGGUCCGGCUACCCGACCUCUCUGUGACAGAACACGGCACGAAAAGCCAUUAGUGCCUGCAGUGAACCACGGAGAUGUCUGGAAGAACCAACCUGAAAUUGAUUUCACUGCUUGAAAGGAAGAACUGUCCAAUCAAAACGGUUUGCGGGUGGAUUCUGAAGGCCAGACCCCGCCCAUCACCCGAACCCUUCCCAACCCGUGAGCUGCAGCCGGUACCUGUCGUCUGGCUUUAAAGCCGCAGUGUCGCUGGAUUCUAAGGAGAUGAAAACGCUCUUCUCUUCCUCCUCACCUGCUCAGGUGUAUCAGGAAGUAUCUCCGAGCCUGCGGGCGGAGGGAGCUGCAUUCUCUGCUGGGAGGAAUCCAGUUCCGCCCAAAACCUGCAGGUGUGGAGGAUCAUCAGGGCAAACAAGGGAGAACCGGAACGCCCAGUCCACAAGGGCCUGCCCAGAUUUCAUCACUUUAAAUCCAGUCUGGAUCUGAUCUGAGAGACCUUUCAUGAAUUGAACUGAAUAAAAUCAGUUCUGUUUCUGUUCUAAUCUGGCCUGCUUGUUUUAAACAUGUUCUAGUAGCUGCAAUGACUGAAAGCUUUUACUGAGCAAAUAAACAGUUAAUAUGAAA